GACGAACCGUACGAACGUUAUUCGGAAUCACUGGGCUUAAAGGGUGCGUAGGCUGCGCGGAAAGUUGGGUGUGAAAUCCCUCGGCUCAACCGAGGAACUGCGCCCAAAACUGCCGUGCUCGAGGGAGACAGAGGUGAGCGGAACUUAGGGUGGAGCGGUGAAAUGCGUUGAUAUCCUAAGGAACACCGGUGGCGAAAGCGGCUCACUGGGUCUCUUCUGACGCUGAGGCACGAAAGCUGGGGGAGCAAACAGG
rnacentral:rRNA from 1 species